rnacentral:lncRNA from 1 species
UAAUUUAACCAUGGACUAUUCAUUAACAGGAGUGUUAAUACAAGGUAUGAAAACCCCAAGCCAGAAGGAAUCGUAAACUAUAUAUCAUUAUUGGAGUGGUUAUCGCGGUAGUAAUAAUUGCUGCUAUCGCCAUCACUGUAUCCCUGGUUGUCAUAAAACACAAGGAAAAUGAAUCUUCAGAACAGAAAAACGAUUGUGGACCAUUUAGUUAUCCAGGUGUUGAUAUCUCAUCACUGACACCAAGAAUAAUUUCUGGCAGGAAAACAUGCCCAUUGAAAGGGGACUGCUGGACAGGGAAAAAGUGUUAUCAAUGCUUCAAGCUUCCAAGAUGGAAGGUAGGCAAUAUCAACAAUAUACCGGUAUGCUGUGAAAAUUGCGAGAUAUCUGGUCUUUAUUUAUCUGACGACGAAUGCAGAUGUCGACAUAACGGAGGAUGACAUUUCUUGAUCCUGGACAAAACUUCAGCAAGAUCAGUUUAUCAAUAUUAUUUAGUUAGGCUAGAAAUUGUAUCUCUGUUAUUCCAGUUUUUAGUGUGAAUGUCCUUGCUGACUGAAUGAGAUUUGGAUUUUACAUAAACAUGACAUCAGCACAAAAUGUUCAAAACAUGAAAUUUCUACAAAGUGCAGAAACGUGACGAAGAACAGAAAUAUCACGGCAUCAUCAGUUGAGGACUAAUAUCAGAAUCUAACUUACAUUCGAAAUAUAAAUGCGGAAAAUGCAUGGUAUUAACAACGUUUCUUGUAAAAAUCAGUUGACAAGAUUAACAUGCCAUAUGACUCUCGAGCUGUUAAUGACAACUAACGAUUUAAACUACGUUGCUAGAGAGCAUGGUCAUUUUUCACUGUAUGCAUGUAAUUUGGACUUGUCAGAAACUGAUGUCCAGAUUAUGAAAUAAUUGCACACAAAUCUUGCUUUUAGUGAUCCUCUACUUCUCCCUACUAGUAUAUAGUCGGAACUUUAAAAGAAAUGUUCCAGUCAGAAACCGCAGGUUUGAUUUUCAAAGUAUUUCAUUCAAAUUUUCAUGGAGACCCUCUUCUAGGAUUGUUCAAAUUAAUCCGAUUCGUUAAAACACAUGACAACCAGAGGGCAUGGUCACUUCUCAGUAUAUGUAUAUGUGUAUAUGUGUGAAGUAAUUUUGUCAGAAACUAUAUAUUGUUCGAUUUUCAAACAAAUUCACACAUAUGGUCCUUGGGUACUACUUUGCAAAGAACUUUUUAAUUAUUCCGAUUCAUCAAAAACGUAUGGCUGCCAGAGAUCUUCAAGUACCAAUGCCUGAAACCAAAUGUUCGAUGCCCGCAAUAUUCCUUAUGUGUCUAGAGCGGAUAUUUUACUAAUAAUUUAUUAGAAACUGCUUAAUUAACAGGUUUUGUGGAGGCCAUCAACCUAGACUCUUUAAACAUUUUCAGUUUAAUCAAAAAGAAUACGUUGCUACCAGAGCAAAUCGCGCUAAAAUGGGGAAAAUUGUCUAUUAUUAGGGGCUUUUUAAGCAUAUUUGUAACCGAAUCUAUUAUUAUGACAAAAUAUGUUUAUUGUCAUUAAAUCACGCCAAUGA